rnacentral:lncRNA from 10 species
GUCUUUCUGAAAGCAGGUGGAGAAGGAGUCCUGCUUGUUCUCAGCCUUCCUUUUUUCCUCCAGUCUGGGAUGUAGAUGAGAUGGUUGAAGCUCCAGCAGUCAUGGUGGAUCAUGAGGACACUCUGAGGAUGGAAACAAUGUGCUUGGAGGUUGAGUAAGAAAGACAGAAGGAGCUUGGAUCCCUGCUGACUGUAGAACUCUCCCUCACAGCCUGAAAGUACCUCCUUCCAGCCUUUUUUCACAUGAGAGAAAUGAACCUCUAACUUGUUUAAUCUGGAUUAUUCUGGGCUUUCUGUUGUGUGCAGUGGAACCCAAUCUUCAUCGAGUUCCCCUUCCCAAGAGUUCUGUCAUUUUUCCUGCAUUCUUUUUAGAUUUCAUAGCAUUUACUCUUUCCGAUAGAUGUGAAAAUUCUUUGAAAAGUUAACAUCUUGAAUAAUGAAAGAUAGCCUGUGCAACCCACGCAGAAGUAGGAGCUUUAAGCAAAGUUUUGUAGAGAGGACUGCAGAAUUUCUCUGUGUGUCUCGCUGGGACCUCAGAAUUUUUACCAGAAAAGGCAGGAGGGGACUGCCUGGUUUAAGCAUCUCUCCCUAACUGUGGUUUGGAAAAGUUUUUUUAAUUUGAGAAUUUAAACAGUCAAUACAAGGAUUAUUCCAACCUGGUUGAUCCAUGCUCUGAAAUGAGAACUCCCAUAGUUUAUCAUCUCUAAGAUACUAAAAUGCACAAUAUUUUAAAUCAAGGAAGGAAAAAUUCUGCCAGCUAUAAUUGUAAGAUGCAUCCUGAUUCCAGAAAUGUUAAAUGUGAAGAGGUUGCUUUUUUAGAUCAAUGAAGUAUGGUACAUAUAGUUAACCAAACAGUUAACUUAAGCAUCAUUAUCCACAAGCAGCCAGAGACAUACUACAUAGAAUUGUGCUGUUAACUUUCUGUUCUGCUCUUGCCAAGAAAUAGGUGAGAACUUUCUGUAUCCCAAGCAGAUUUUGUUCCACAAAAAGGAAACGGAGGUCUGGAGAAAUGAUGCAGGUUGGUGGCAAACCCAAGAUUCACCUGGAAAAAAUUCCAUUCUCCUCAAAAUUAGAGUGAAGCAGAAGUGAUAGCAUGCCAGUUCUGAACCUCCAC